rnacentral:rRNA from 1 species
UACGGAGGGGGCUAGCGUUGUUCGGAAUUACUGGGCGUAAAGCGCACGUAGGCGGCUUUGUAAGUUAGAGGUGAAAGCCCGGGGCUCAACUCCGGAACUGCCUUUAAGACUGCAUCGCUAGAAUUGUGGAGAGGUAAGUGGAAUUCCGAGUGUAGAGGUGAAAUUCGUAGAUAUUCGGAAGAACACCAGUGGCGAAGGCGACUUACUGGACACAUAUUGACGCUGAGGUGCGAAAGCGUGGGGAGCGAACAGG